rnacentral:rRNA from 1 species
AAUCCCGUUGAUCCUGCGGGACCUGACUGCUAUCGGAUUGAUACUAAGCCAUGCGAGUCAUUGCAGCAAUGCAAGGCGGACGGCUCAGUAACACGUAGUCAAUCUACCCUGUGGACGGGGAUAAUCUCGGGAAACUGAGCAUAAUACCCGAUAGACCAUUAUGCCUGGAAUGGUUUAUGGUUAAAAUGAUUCGUCGCCACAGGAUGGGACUGCGGCCUAUCAGCUUGUUGGUGAGUUAACGGCCCACCAAGGCGAUAACAGGUACGGGCUCUGAGAGGAGAAGCCCGGAGAUGGGUACUGAGACACGGACCCAGGCCCUAUGGGGCGCAGCAGGCGAGAAAACUUUGCAAUGUGCGAAA